rnacentral:rRNA from 1 species
AUGAACGCUAGCGACAGGCUUAACACAUGCAAGUCGAGGGGCAGCACAGGUAGCAAUACCGGGUGGCGACCGGCGCACGGGUGAGUAACGCGUAUGCAACUUGCCUAUCAGAGGGGGAUAACCCGGCGAAAGUCGGACUAAUACCGCAUGAAGCAGGGGCCCCGCAUGGGGAUAUUUGCUAAAGAUUCAUCGCUGAUAGAUAGGCAUGCGUUCCAUUAGGCAGUUGGCGGGGUAACGGCCCACCAAACCGACGAUGGAUAGGGGUUCUGAGAGGAAGGUCCCCCACAUUGGUACUGAGACACGGACCAAACUCCUACGGGAGGCAGCAGUGAGGAAUAUUGGUCAAUGGCCGAGAGGCUGAACCAGCCAAGUCGCGUGAGGGAUGAAGGUUCUAUGGAUCGUAAACCUCUUUUAUAAGGGAAUAAAGUGCGGGACGUGUCCCGUUUUGUAUGUACCUUAUGAAUAAGGAUCGGCUAACUCCGUGCCAGCAGCCGCGGUAAUACGGAGGAUCCGAGCGUUAUCCGGAUUUAUUGGGUUUAAAGGGUGCGUAGGCGGCCUUUUAAGUCAGCGGUGAAAGUCUGUGGCUCAACCAUAGAAUUGCCGUUGAAACUGGGGGGCUUGAGUAUGUUUGAGGCAGGCGGAAUGCGUGGUGUAGCGGUGAAAUGCAUAGAUAUCACGCAGAACCCCGAUUGCGAAGGCAGCCUGCCAAGCCAUUACUGACGCUGAUGCACGAAAGCGUGGGGAUCAAACAGGAUUAGAUACCCUGGUAGUCCACGCAGUAAACGAUGAUCACUAGCUGUUUGCGAUACACUGUAAGCGGCACAGCGAAAGCGUUAAGUGAUCCACCUGGGGAGUACGCCGGCAACGGUGAAACUCAAAGGAAUUGACGGGGGCCCGCACAAGCGGAGGAACAUGUGGUUUAAUUCGAUGAUACGCGAGGAACCUUACCCGGGUUUGAACGCAUUCGGACCGAGGUGGAAACACCUUUUCUAGCAAUAGCCGUUUGCGAGGUGCUGCAUGGUUGUCGUCAGCUCGUGCCGUGAGGUGUCGGCUUAAGUGCCAUAACGAGCGCAACCCUUGCCACUAGUUACUAACAGGUAAAGCUGAGGACUCUGGUGGGACUGCCAGCGUAAGCUGCGAGGAAGGCGGGGAUGACGUCAAAUCAGCACGGCCCUUACAUCCGGGGCGACACACGUGUUACAAUGGCGUGGACAAAGGGAAGCCACCUGGCGACAGGGAGCGAAUCCCCAAACCACGUCUCAGUUCGGAUCGGAGUCUGCAACCCGACUCCGUGAAGCUGGAUUCGCUAGUAAUCGCGCAUCAGCCACGGCGCGGUGAAUACGUUCCCGGGCCUUGUACACACCGCCCGUCAAGCCAUGAAAGCCGGGGGUACCUGAAGUGCGUAACCGCAAGGAGCGCCCUAGGGUAAAACUGGUGAUUGGGGCU